UGGCAAGAUGAGCACGUGGCACAUCUGCCCCCCCCCCCCCACACCUGGCAGGGAAGGGGGGAAACCCCGCCCUCCCCCCGCUACCGAGUCCCUAGAGCCUGCGCUCCUAAAGGCAGGGUGCGGGGCUCGCCUCCCCCUGCUGCCCUGAGCUCGCUUGAGCCAACGGGCUCACUCUGCAGCAGGCGGCUUGUCCUGCGCCUUGCGCGCUUGGGAAGGGAAAGGAAAUUUGCACUCGGCCCCUUGCCUCGGGCCUCCAUUGUUGCCCCCCGCCGGAGGAGGCCGCGCAGGGCCCGGGGCCCUGCAUGGCGGGAGGGGGUGCCUUUGGCAGGCCAGGAAAUGCCGCCGAAAUGUUCGCCGCCCGCUUCCUGACGCAGCAGGGAAAGCACCAGCAAUGGUACUGUGGCCAGGAGUGCGCAGACCCAACCGACGGCUCGGCUGCCACCACUGCCGGCUGGAACCCCCCUCCAGUGACAGUCCGGACACACUCUUCUUCCCUCCCUGUCCUACACUGUUGUGUGGCUGUUGUGUCCCAUCCCAGAAACGGAAUCACUUACUGCAGAGGUGCUGCCUGGACAAACAGCGCUAGUGCCCCACCCCAGAAGUGGCUGCAUCUCAGCACCAGGUAAGCAAGCCUUGUCUAAACAGCUGCCCUGACCCACCCCAGAGUUGGCUGCAUUUCAGGGCUGGACAAAAGCAAUUCCGCUCUGCCGGAUAUGCGCGGGGUUGGU